CAAUAGCGUAUAUUUAAGUUGCUGCAGUUAAAAAGCUCGUAGUUGGAUUUCGGGUGGGAAUGGCCGGUCCGCCGUUUCGGUGUGCACUUGCUACGCCCACCUUGCUGCCGGGGACGUGCUCUUGAGUUCACGCUCGGGACACGGAGUCGGCGAGGUUACUUUGAGUAAAUUAGAGUGUUCAAAGCAGGCCUACGCUCUGAAUACAUUAGCAUGGAAUAACACGAUAGGACUCUGGCCUAUCUUGUUGGUCCGUAGGACCGGAGUAAUGAUUAAGAGGGACAGUCGGGGGCAUUCGUAUUUCAUUGUCAGAGGUGAAAUUCUUGGAUUUAUGAAAGACGAACUACUGCGAAAGCAUUUGCCAAGGAUGUUUUCAUUGA
rnacentral:rRNA from 1 species